UUAGAGACCUCUGGACUAUCCCAUGUGAAUUAUGAGGUCAUAGUACAUAUCCUGCAGGCUUUCAACCUUGACCAGAGGUUUUCAUAAUGAAUGCAGCAUCCCUGGGGAGUGAUCUGAAGCUGGCGAGGCAAUGAGAACACCCUGGCAGGGCAGCUGAGCUGGGUGGAUCCUUGUUCUGUCACCAAGCCUUUAAGUCAUAUGCUGACAUGUUACAGUCCUGCCUGGGACCCUGCCCACAAAUACUUAAGAUACACGACUUUGGGAAUCACCCAACUGAUGGAAAGAACCAGGAAAGGGGUCAGGAUCUGCACCUUGGCAAACUUUGAAGAACACCCAAUUUGAUGAAUGAAAACUCCUCACUUGUGCUCUGGUGGUGUUUUAGGACAAUGGGCCCCUCCUGGAUGCUCCAGUGAAGCCCCAUAUCACCUUUUUCCUUCCUGUUUGCCAUAGCUCCAGAAAGGUUGUACCUGCCUACAAGAUUAUCAACACCAUGUGAGAACAUCCACUUUGCUGAACUCUUUCUCACAUAUCACCUUUAGAGAUGUUACAUGGUGACCAACUGUCAUUAACUUUGGAUGUUUUUCCUGGAGGAGGAGAAUGUGCAGGAAUGAGAAGAAAAUACCAUCAGAAUCAUGUGGACCCACAUUCAUCCCUUACUUCACCCCUUCUGGGAAGGAACCCAGCAGGCUCAAAGAUAUGGAAAAUGCCACCAGAAAAACAGUACCUGGGACAGAGGGUAGAGAUUCCUAUGGCAGGAAUGAGACUACUUUUAAUCUUUCUUCCGUCAUCUCAGCUUUUAAAUUUCUCCCUAGAGAACAUUUGGGUAGUAAGAUUCAGAGGUGCAUGUUAGGGUGUCAGGUGCACCCUGUGUCCUGGAAGUAGAUGGUACAGGCUCCUUUGUCUGGAGGCAAAGCGGGGCCAGAGUGGGCAGGGUCAGUUUCAAGGCUUUGGGAAAGCAGUGGUCUGGCAGUACUCUUCUGGCUCUUGGAAGCAGGAAUGCAAACUUGAUUCAGGCUGGGAGCAAACACCUGUUUCAUCUUUCAGGAAUAUCAGGAGUAUAGCAGCAGGUGACAGGGUACUUUGCAGAACCAGCAGAGGGGUGUCACCUCACACCCCAGGGAGCCAUAGUGUCCCAGUGUGGAGGCAGAAAGGUAGAAAGGGGUCAUUGGAGUAGCUUAGAGUAAUCUUGUGAGCUUUAGGCUUAAAUCAGCUGACUGAGCAGGGUCUUCUCUUCCACUGUUCAGGAUGAGGCUAUGCCUGGGGUCAAAAAGAAAAAGCCUCCAACUAUUUUACAUUGGCAGCUAUGAGGAUGGAAAAAAUAGUAGUGAUGGUGUUUGUUUUUUCAUUAACAGGUUAACCUGACCAUUGUGGGAAUGUCAUUAAAUAUUUUUCUAAGAUAUAAUUUUUACUGACUAAUGCUUGUGCCAUUACUUAAACCAUUACCUUAAAUUGUUUUCUAAUAUAAAUAAUUCUGAGAUGAGCACCUAU
rnacentral:lncRNA from 1 species